UUAAGCGACUAAGCGUACACGGUGGAUGCCCUGGCAGUCAGAGGCGAUGAAGGACGUGCUAAUCUGCGAAAAGCGUCGGUAAGGUGAUAUGAACCGUUAUAACCGGCGAUGUCCGAAUGGGGAAACCCAGUGCAAUUCGUUGCACUAUCGUUAACUGAAUACAUAGGUUAACGAGGCGAACCGGGGGAACUGAAACAUCUAAGUACCCCGAGGAAAAGAAAUCAACCGAGAUUCCCCCAGUAGCGGCGAGCGAACGGGGAGCAGCCCAGAGUCUGAAUCAGCUUGUGUGUUAGUGGAACGGUCUGGAAAGUCCGACGGUACAGGGUGAUAGUCCCGUACACCAAAAUGCACAGGCUGUGAACUCGAAGAGUAGGGCGGGACACGUGGUAUCCUGUCUGAAUAUGGGGGGACCAUCCUCCAAGGCUAAAUACUCCUGACUGACCGAUAGUGAACCAGUACCGUGAGGGAAAGGCGAAAAGAACCCCGGCGAGGGGAGUGAAAAAGAACCUGAAACCGUGUACGUACAAGCAGUGGGAGCACCUUCGGGUGUGACUGCGUACCUUUUGUAUAAUGGGUCAGCGACUUAUAUUCUGUAGCAAGGUUAACCGUAUAGGGGAGCCGCAGGGAAACCGAGUCUUAACUGGGCGUUAAGUUGCAGGGUAUAGACCCGAAACCCGGUGAUCUAGCCAUGGGCAGGUUGAAGGUUGGGUAACACUAACUGGAGGACCGAACCGACUAAUGUUGAAAAAUUAGCGGAUGACUUGUGGCUGGGGGUGAAAGGCCAAUCAAACCGGGAGAUAGCUGGUUCUCCCCGAAAGCUAUUUAGGUAGCGCCUCGUGAAUUCAUCUUCGGGGGUAGAGCACUGUUUCGGCUAGGGGGUCAUCCCGACUUACCAACCCGAUGCAAACUACGAAUACCGAAGAAUGUUAUCACGGGAGACACACGGCGGGUGCUAACGUCCGUCGUGAAGAGGGAAACAACCCAGACCGCCAGCUAAGGUCCCAAAGUCAUGGUUAAGUGGGAAACGAUGUGGGAAGGCACAGACAGCCAGGAUGUUGGCUUAGAAGCAGCCAUCAUUUAAAGAAAGCGUAAUAGCUCACUGGUCGAGUCGGCCUGCGCGGAAGAUGUAACGGGGCUAAACCAUGCACCGAAGCUGCGGCAGCGACACUAUGUGUUGUUGGGUAGGGGAGCGUUCUGUAAGCCUGCGAAGGUGNNNNNNNNNNNUGCUGGAGGUAUCAGAAGUGCGAAUGCUGACAUAAGUAACGAUAAAGCGGGUGAAAAGCCCGCUCGCCGGAAGACCAAGGGUUCCUGUCCAACGUUAAUCGGGGCAGGGUGAGUCGACCCCUAAGGCGAGGCCGAAAGGCGUAGUCGAUGGGAAACAGGUUAAUAUUCCUGUACUUGGUGUUACUGCGAAGGGGGGACGGAGAAGGCUAUGUUAGCCGGGCGACGGUUGUCCCGGUUUAAGCAUGUAGGCUGGUUGUCCAGGCAAAUCCGGAUAAUCAAGGCUGAGGUGUGAUGACGAGGCACUACGGUGCUGAAGUAACAAAUGCCCUGCUUCCAGGAAAAGCCUCUAAGCAUCAGGUAACAUCAAAUCGUACCCCAAACCGACACAGGUGGUCAGGUAGAGAAUACCAAGGCGCUUGAGAGAACUCGGGUGAAGGAACUAGGCAAAAUGGUGCCGUAACUUCGGGAGAAGGCACGCUGGUGUGUAGGUGAAGUCCCUGCGGAUGGAGCUGAGACCAGUCGAAGAUACCAGCUGGCUGCAACUGUUUAUUAAAAACACAGCACUGUGCAAACACGAAAGUGGACGUAUACGGUGUGACGCCUGCCCGGUGCCGGAAGGUUAAUUGAUGGGGUUAUCCGUAAGGAGAAGCUCUUGAUCGAAGCCCCGGUAAACGGCGGCCGUAACUAUAACGGUCCUAAGGUAGCGAAAUUCCUUGUCGGGUAAGUUCCGACCUGCACGAAUGGCGUAAUGAUGGCCAGGCUGUCUCCACCCGAGACUCAGUGAAAUUGAACUCGCUGUGAAGAUGCAGUGUACCCGCGGCAAGACGGAAAGACCCCGUGAACCUUUACUAUAGCUUGACACUGAACAUUGAGCCUUGAUGUGUAGGAUAGGUGGGAGGCUUUGAAGCGUGGACGCCAGUCUGCGUGGAGCCAACCUUGAAAUACCACCCUUUAAUGUUUGAUGUUCUAACGUUGGCCCCUUACCGGGGUUGCGGACAGUGUCUGGUGGGUAGUUUGACUGGGGCGGUCUCCUCCCAAAGCGUAACGGAGGAGCACGAAGGUUAGCUAAUCCUGGUCGGACAUCAGGAGGUUAGUGCAAUGGCAUAAGCUAGCUUGACUGCGAGCGUGACGGCGCGAGCAGGUGCGAAAGCAGGUCAUAGUGAUCCGGUGGUUCUGAAUGGAAGGGCCAUCGCUCAACGGAUAAAAGGUACUCCGGGGAUAACAGGCUGAUACCGCCCAAGAGUUCAUAUCGACGGCGGUGUUUGGCACCUCGAUGUCGGCUCAUCACAUCCUGGGGCUGAAGUAGGUCCCAAGGGUAUGGCUGUUCGCCAUUUAAAGUGGUACGCGAGCUGGGUUUAGAACGUCGUGAGACAGUUCGGUCCCUAUCUGCCGUGGGCGCUGGAGAAUUGAGGGGGGCUGCUCCUAGUACGAGAGGACCGGAGUGGACGCAUCACUGGUGUUCGGGUUGUCAUGCCAAUGGCACUGCCCGGUAGCUAAAUGCGGAAGAGAUAAGUGCUGAAAGCAUCUAAGCACGAAACUUGCCCCGAGAUGAGUUCUCCCUGAGACUUUAAGUCUCCUGAAGGAACGUUGAAGACGACGACGUUGAUAGGCCGGGUGUGUAAGCGCAGCGAUGCGUUGAGCUAACCGGUACUAAUGAACCGUGAGGCUUAACCUU
rnacentral:rRNA from 1 species